CUGCAUUUGAAUAUAUAUAAAAUAUGAAUACAGUACUAUGUAAAUAAGUUUGAAUGUGU
rnacentral:sRNA from 1 species